ACAACCACAAAAGUUACAUGCCUGAAUUAAUCGGGGCCUCUCAGCCUUUCGAAAAAAAAAACACGAACAAACAUCCAAACAGACGGAGACAGAGCUGUCAAAUCCAGUUACCAGUUCCAACCUUCUAACUUCCAUACUCCAACUAUACAACAGAUGGCUCCGGGUUUCAUUUAUUUUCAUUUUUAUUUUUGCAUUGUUGAACAAGUACAUACUAUACAUAACGUUUGUAUAUCUCUUUCCCUGGAGGUAUAUAGUAGUGCAAUAACAUGGCUUUGGUUUGUAUAUAGUGUUUAUAUUUUCUCCCUCUAACAUCCGUCAUUUUCGAUGAAUAUACCAACAAAAAUUUUGCCUAGAUACAUAACCUAGGUCACAAACAAGAAUAAGUCGGUAUACCUUUUUAUCGUAUUUUGUUUUUGGUUGGGUUUAACGUAAUAGAGAGAUAUUCUCCCACACACCACUAAAAUAUGGCAGUUUGUUGCACCGGAACAACAACAAAACUCAAGCAAGAGAAACUUCGUAUGAAUGUAAUACAAUAUUCAAACCCUGCAGCCUGCAAAUAUAAUGUAUACGCAUCCCCGACCCGCAUCCAGCUUUACAUAGAUUACACUGUUUUGCUGAAUAUAUGUAUGGAUUUCCUGCCAUGGCUGACUUGAAAUGCAACUAGAUGCGUAGGAUGGUUGAAGAGUGGGUGGUGAAAAAACGAUAAUGUGGGUUUGGAUAUAUAUAUGUAUGGUGAGCUUUAACGAUUUUAUUAAAUAAUAUUAUAACAAAUUUCAUUCUCCCUUUCGGAGUUACCUUCAAUGCGCAUACGUUUGUUACUUUUGAGUUGAAGAUUUUAGGACUUUUAGAAAAUUAAGUAUUACUUUUGUCCCAAAAUGUUCUCUUGUGGCCUACUGCUCAUAAUUUCGAAAGGGCCCUAACUACAGGCCCUACUCCCCGUCCCCAGUUAUAAAGAAAAACACUAAAUCGCUUACGCAACCACAUUACGUAAUUUAAAAAAAAUUU